ACGUUAGCGGCGGACGGGUGAGUAACACGUGGGUAACCUACCUAUAAGACUGGGAUAACUUCGGGAAACCGGAGCUAAUACCGGAUAAUAUUUCGAACCGCAUGGUUCGAUAGUGAAAGGUGGUUUUGCUAUCACUUAUAGAUGGACCCGCGCCGUAUUAGCUAGUUGGUAAGGUAACGGCUUACCAAGGUGACGAUACGUAGCCGACCUGAGAGGGUGAUCGGCCACACUGGAACUGAGACACGGUCCAGACUCCUACGGGAGGCAGCAGCA
rnacentral:rRNA from 1 species